rnacentral:tRNA from 1 species
CGCCCGGCUAGCUCAGUCGGUAGAGCAUGAGACUCUUAAUCUCAGGGUCGUGGGUUCGAGCCCCCGAUGGGUGA